rnacentral:rRNA from 1 species
ACCCAGUGUGUUUCGACACACUAUCAUUAACUGAAUCCAUAGGUUAAUGAGGCGAACCGGGGGAACUGAAACAUCUAAGUACCCCGAGGAAAAGAAAUCAACCGAGAUUCCCCCAGUAGCGGCGAGCGAACGGGGAGGAGCCCAGAGCCUGAAUCAGUGUGUGUGUUAGUGGAAGCGUCUGGAAAGGCGUGCGAUACAGGGUGACAGCCCCGUACACAAAAAUGCACAUAUUGUGAGCUCGAUGAGUAGGGCGGGACACGUGGUAUCCUGUCUGAAUAUGGGGGGACCAUCCUCCAAGGCUAAAUACUCCUGACUGACCGAUAGUGAACCAGUACCGUGAGGGAAAGGCGAAAAGAACCCCGGCGAGGGGAGUGAAAAAGAACCUGAAACCGUGUACGUACAAGCAGUGGGAGCCUCUUAAUGGGGUGACUGCGUACCUUUUGUAUAAUGGGUCAGCGACUUAUAUUCUGUAGCAAGGUUAACCGAAUAGGGGAGCCGAAGGGAAACCGAGUCUUAACUGGGCGUUAAGUUGCAGGGUAUAGACCCGAAACCCGGUGAUCUAGCCAUGGGCAGGUUGAAGGUUGGGUAACACUAACUGGAGGACCGAACCGACUAAUGUUGAAAAAUUAGCGGAUGACUUGUGGCUGGGGGUGAAAGGCCAAUCAAACCGGGAGAUAGCUGGUUCUCCCCGAAAGCUAUUUAGGUAGCGCCUCGUGAAUUCAUCUCCGGGGGUAGAGCACUGUUUCGGCAAGGGGGUCAUCCCGACUUACCAACCCGAUGCAAACUGCGAAUACCGGAGAAUGUUAUCACGGGAGACACACGGCGGGUGCUAACGUCCGUCGUGAAGAGGGAAACAACCCAGACCGCCAGCUAAGGUCCCAAAGUCAUGGUUAAGUGGGAAACGAUGUGGGAAGGCCCAGACAGCCAGGAUGUUGGCUUAGAAGCAGCCAUCAUUUAAAGAAAGCGUAAUAGCUCACUGGUCGAGUCGGCCUGCGCGGAAGAUGUAACGGGGCUAAACCAUGCACCGAAGCUGCGGCAGCGACACUAUGUGUUGUUGGGUAGGGGAGCGUUCUGUAAGCCUGUGAAGGUGGCCUGUGAGGGUUGCUGGAGGUAUCAGAAGUGCGAAUGCUGACAUAAGUAACGAUAAAGCGGGUGAAAAGCCCGCUCGCCGGAAGACCAAGGGUUCCUGUCCAACGUUAAUCGGGGCAGGGUGAGUCGACCCCUAAGGCGAGGCCGAAAGGCGUAGUCGAUGGGAAACAGGUUAAUAUUCCUGUACUUGGUGUUACUGCGAAGGGGGGACGGAGAAGGCUAUGUUGGCCGGGCGACGGUUGUCCCGGUUUAAGCGUGUAGGCUGGUUUUCCAGGCAAAUCCGGAAAACCAAGGCUGAGGCGUGAUGA